CCAGUUGACCGGGUGACCGCUGGCGGAUGGGUAACUGUCCGUUGGAGGAAAGUCCGGGCUCCUUCGAAACACGGUGCCGGGUAACGCCUGGCAGGGGGCGACCCUAGGGAAAGUGCCACAGAAAGCAAACCGCCCCGGCAUGCCGGGGUAAGGGUGAAAGGGUGCGGUAAGAGCGCACCGGGUGACCAGCAAUGGAAGCCGCACGGUAAACCCCACCGGGAGCAAGACCAAAUAGGGAUGACGCGGGGCUUCGGCCCCAGCCUGUUUUGAGGCCAGAUCAUCCGGGUUGGUUGCAACAGGCGUCUGGUAACAGGCGUCGCAGAUGAAUGGUCACCACGUCGUGGAAACGCGGCCCUACAGAACCCGGCUUACAGGUCAACUGGCGUU
rnacentral:RNase_P_RNA from 1 species